GGGGAAUAUUGCACAAUGGAGGAAACUCUGAUGCAGCGACGCCGCGUGAAUGAUGAAGGCCUUCGGGCUGUAAAGUUCUGUCCUUGGGGAAGAUAAUGACGGUACCCAAGGAGGAAGCCCCGGCUAACUACGUGCCAGCAGCCGCGGUAAUACGUAGGGGGCGAGCGUUAUCCGGAAUUAUUGGGCGUAAAGGGUUCGCAGGCGGUCUGAUAAGUCAGAUGUGAAAGGCGUAGGCUUAACCUAUGUAAGCAUUUGAAACUGUCAGACUUGAGUUAAGGAGAGGAAAGUGGAAUUCCUAGUGUAGCGGUGAAAUGCGUAGAUAUUAGGAGGAAUACCAGUGGCGAAGGCGACUUUCUGGACUUAUACUGACGCUGAGGAACGAAAGCGUGGGGAGCAAACAG
rnacentral:rRNA from 1 species